UACGUAGGGCGCAAGCGUUGUCCGGAAUUAUUGGGCGUAAAGAGCUCGUAGGCGGCCAGUUGCGUCCGCUGUGAAAUCCCGGGGCUCAACCCCGGGCGUGCAGUGGAUACGGGCUGGCUAGAGGCAGGCAGGGGAGAACGGAAUUCCCGGUGUAGCGGUGAAAUGCGCAGAUAUCGGGAGGAACACCGGUGGCGAAGGCGGUUCUCUGGGCCUGUACUGACGCUGAGGAGCGAAAGCGUGGGGAGCGAACAGG
rnacentral:rRNA from 1 species